CACAAAAUAUAUGCAGCUUGUGCCUCCCUCAGGCCCCCAAGUACAGAGCUCAGGUGGUCAGUCUGCUGAUGAAUGCAACUCUAUUAAUAGAAAAUGCUGCCUAUCUGGUGAAUGAUGAACAUUGAGCAGAUUUCUCACAGGUCUGAAAAUGACCCUCUUUAGUUUGGCUUCUUACUUUUCAGCAAAAGAUUUCAUUUGAUGCCCUGAAACAUCAGAAGUUUCUAGUAGUUAUUUCAGAUCUCAUCAUAGUAUGACCAUGGAGCAGUCAGGUAAACUCAUAUUGUAUGUGUGUCUAAGUCUGGGUUUAACCCAGGAGCCCUGUGAGUCUCAGGGAAUGUAAACAUCCUACACUCUCAGCUGGAGACAAGACAAGGCCGGGAGUGGGGUGUUUGCGCUCUCUGGCUUACGGAUGCCGUGGCAGCACAAAGGAAAAGGAAACAGCACCACAGAGGAAACUGGCUUCUCUGCCAUCAUAUCAGUUCGGCUCAUUGGACACAUCCGGAGGCUUUCAAUGUCUGGAACAUUGGCGCAGUGACCGGUUAUAAUCUUGAUGAUCCUUUAUUUCUGUGUGGCUUUAUGACUUGUUACUCAACUGUGAAGAUUAUAAAAUUGCAUUGAGAUACUUCUAUUCGACAUUCAAAAUAACCUUAAUGGCUGAAAACCUUCAUAGAAAAGAAGAGUCUUCUGUUCUCUCUGUGUAUGUCUAGAGGCCAGUGUGUAGGUGGGUGUGGUUUGUAGAACACUGAGGAAGUGGUGCUCUAUUGUGAAAAUUACUGCAGGGUCAAGAGGUGAGGCUGAAGGCUCUUUUUGAAGCUCUCUAACCCAGCAGGGUGGGACAACUCGAAAUGCUUCCAAGCCCUCCUGUCCAGACUAGGCUGUUGUCACAGAGACAGUGUGGCCCAAGAGGAAAUGGCUAUUUAUACCCAGCAAGUUCAGAAAGAGAGGCACCCUUCCAAUGGACGGCAUUUGACUUGCAUCCUCCAACAAUCAGGGUAUGGGUCUUCAUUUGGACCCACUUUCUCUACUUCUGCUGCCGUCUCAGUGAUUUACCUAUUGAUGUUUGGGGAAACAUUGCCAUGAUUGUUAAUUUUGUAGCCUGACAGACUUGCCAACAACUUUUGAACAGUGUACAGUACAGUUGUACAGUGUUGUAUGUGCUGUCCAAUUGAUUUGUUUCCUUUGGCCCUUCUGUGUCACUCAGGAUGCAUGCCUGGUGGUUUGUGGUUCCCACCCUAUCCCACUGCAAUUAUUUCAGCGUACUUUUAUUCUGUUACAUCAUUACAGCAGCUGCUCCAUCUUAGUCCACAAGGUGGCAGACUGUCUCCAACGAUGGCCUGAUGAGCAGCAUUCUGGGAAUUGAGCAAGUGUCCCUGAAGCUAAGUGGCAUCACUAGCAUAUUGAAUUAUAAGAUUUAUAUAUUUUUUAUUCAAACAUUCCCUGACCUUAUAUUUAAUAAACCAUAAUAUUAGUUUGUAAUUCAAGUAAUGCCAGUGAAGACUUUGGGCAGUGAAUUUGACACACAUUGUUCAACAUUAUACAUUGCCAGUUCCAAAAGGAUUUUUUUUAUUCUUUGUGACCAUUAUUUACUGGUUAACAGUUCAUUGUUCAUUGUGUCCAAAUAAUUACACAUGCUAAAGCAAAGGUUUAUUGUAUAUAAGUCACUUUUGCAAGGUUAUUGUUGGAAUGUACAAUUAGAUCACUAGUGUGCAAUUUCAAUGCCAUGUGUUGUAAUGUAUAUGUUUUGCUGAAUAAAUUAUUCUUUUAUUUUUA